AAUAAGUGCAGUUUUACAUUGUUCAUAUCCAACGUUUGAUCAUUCGUCUUAUUUGAAAAUUUUUUAUGAUUAGUAUUUUUGUUGUUAUUAGAUGAUAAAACAUGAAUAAUACUUUACGUGUGACUAAUUUUUUUAUAAAUUUUUCAAAUAAGACGGAUUAUCAAAUAUUCAAAUAAGACUACGCUUACU
rfam:Oryza punctata chromosome 12, whole genome shotgun sequence.